rnacentral:ncRNA from 1 species
AACCUAUUAAUUUGUUUGAAAAAAUAAGAUUAUGUUUAAAAAUGUGCUUUCUUUUCAGAUGCCGAAACCGAAUUGUCCCACAUUUGUUAAAUGUUCAGAAAAACCUGGUUACAUUUAGAAUGUACCUUCAAAUUCAGGAUUAUCAGUUCUCCUGCUUUGAAGAACAAUGCUGCUCUUAUUAAUUUUAACUUCAUUAAUACUGGGGGCGAUGUUUCUAUGAAAACGGAAACAUUCAUUUUUCCCAUACUUCGAUUCCCGAGAGGGAACCUGAGAAACGGCUACCACAUCCAAGGAAAGCAGCAGACAAGUAAAUUAGCCACUCCCAGAACGGGGAGGUAGUGACGAAAAAUAACAAUACGGAACUCUUUUGAUGUUCCGUAAUUGGAAUGAGUACUCUUUAAAUCUUUUAACGAGGAUCAAUUUGAGGGCAAGUCUGGUGCCAGCAGCCGCGGUAGUUCCAGCUCCAAUAGCGUAUAUUAAAGUUGUUGCGGUUAAAAAUGGCGUAGUUGGAUCUGAGUUCUAGACAGGUGGCCUACCUACCUGUGGUUACUGCCUGUUCUGAAUAGCCAGCCGGUUUCCUUUGAUGAUCUUCACCGGUUGUCUUGAGUGAUCGGCAAGUUUAAUUUGAAAAAAUUAGAGUGCUCUGAACGUAAAAAAGCUACCUGGUUGAUCGUGCCAGUAGUCAUAUGCUUGUCUCAAAGAUUAAGCCAUACAUAUCUAAGUGCAUGCCGUAUUAAGGCGAAACCGCGAAUGGAUCAUUA